rnacentral:rRNA from 1 species
GUCAGCCUGCCCAGUGACUCUUGUUUUAACGGGCCGCGGUAUCCUAACCGUGCAAAGGUAGCGUAAUCACUUGUUUUCUAAAUAAAGACCAGUAUGAAAGGCACCACGAGGGAUAAACUGUCUCCUUUUUUUAAUCAGUGAACCUAAUCUCCCCGUGAAGAAACGGGGAUUUUUAUAUAAGACGAGAAGACCCCAUGGAGCUUAAAACAUCAUAACACCUGCCACCCCAUUAUACCCGCCCCGGCACUUCAUUUUCCUGGCACCCUGAUUAUAUGUUUUUGGUUGGGGCGACCGCGGAGAAAAACUUAUCCUCCACGAUGAAGGGGAAUUUCCCUGAACAAUAAGCCACAACUUUAUGUACCAAUAAAUUGACAUCAAUUGACCCGGUAUACCGAUUAACGAACCAAGUUACCCUGGGGAUAACAGCGCAAUCCACUUUAAGAGCCCUUAUCGACAAGUGGGCUUACGACCUCGAUGUUGGAUCGGGGUACCCCGGUGGUGCAGCCGCUACUAAAGGUUCGUUUGUUCAACGAUUAAAACCCC